GUCCCUGUAGCGUAAUGGAUAGCGCGUUGGACUUCUAAUCCAAAGGUGGUGGGUUCGAAUCCCACCUUGGAUC